rnacentral:lncRNA from 1 species
GGGAAGCAGGGAGACAAAAAAAGGAAAAAGAAAAAAAAAAACCCUCACAACAAAAUCCUGCAAGCACCAAAGCAAUGGCACUUCUAAAGUAAGCUGGCACCCAGCUCCGGGGGAUCCGUAAUACGCACAGAUCUUGUCUUCUUAUGGAUUUAACAACUGUGCUUUAAUCUGCUUAAGUUCCGGUACUCCUAUCUUCUUCUCUUCCUUUUGAUAGAACUAAACAAGCUCCCAGAGACAGUGCUGUCCCUGAGAUUGCAAAUUAAGGAGUUAGAAAUCAAAAGAAGAUAAAGAAGGCUUGUGACAUCGGUAAUAUUAUAAAUGGCCAUUCUGGACUGCUUUAAAGUCAGAGGACCUUUUGAUGCCCCAGCCCCCAUAAUGGGUUUGAGCCUCACAUCUGCUAAACAAGUGCUGUACCCCUGUGCUGACUGGCGUUCUGUCAACUUGACAGAAGGAUCUGCCGCUCAGGAGAAGCCAACUCUGCCACCCUCUAGGGCAGCUGCCGGAGCAGACUAUUUUUAGUUCAAGCUAAAUUCACUCCAUUUGCCAGCCACAUUCAAUAUUGCAAUGUGGUCAAAUUCAAACUAGUCCUAGGGUCUCCAAGUGCUCACCACCUCCCUCUGAACUAUAUCAUGCGACUUACCCAAACUGAACUAGUCUCUCCAGGAAUGGUGCCAUUAGAUGAAUACAGCCAAGAAAUGAGCAAGGGAAAGCCGCCAGAGCCACGGGAUUGCUAAUGUUCUGGACUUUCGAUUAUAUGAGCCAAUAAACUUUCUCAAGCUUUGAGCACUCUGAAAUGAGUUUCCUUUUGAUUGCUCCUGGAGGCGCCCUCACUGGUACACAUGCUUUUUUGUUACUCUUUUAAAACCUGGACCUCCAAGAACACUGUGUAGAUUCGAUCAACGAUGGCUUCCUCGUUGUGUUGCCCUGCUGGGGAUGGAAGAUUUGUAGAUAAAGACUUGAUUGGGAAAGCUUUCAAUUCCGCCGAAGCUUCAUGUCUCCAGUGCAUAGAAAUUUCCUGAUGAUGUGAUAUGGGAAUACAGGUAAAACUGCAGCUUCCCAGGGCCACUAAAACGUGCACAAUAGAACCUUCUCCUCGUGAAAGGAAAGCUCAAUAGUGAAAUCUAAUGGGAAUAAAUACAGCUAACAGCAGGCCUCGGCAAAGAAGGGUGGAGGAUAGAGAGUUACUAUAAUUUAUAGACAAGAGGGGGGGGUAUAUGAAGAACACGUUUGUGUCUUUCCAUUUUACUAAGUUAGCCAUGAAAACUAAAAUAUACGCUCGCUUGAAGCCCAAAUGAGUGAUAUCUUCAUUUGCUUUGUAAACAGAACCACAGUCUUCAAAAUGAAGAAAAUCAUUUGAGGGAAAUGGAAUUUUGUGUGCUGUCUUACUUUUCUUUGGCUACUCUAGCAAAAGUUGGUAGUCUGGUCAUUUAUAAGCAAGAGAAAUGAAUUACUCACAGUCCUGGAAGUUGGCCAGGCUAACACACUUGGUGCCUAGAGAGGAGACAUUGGCUGCCUCGCAGAUGCACCCUGUGGCUUUGUUUCCCACGGUGGAAGAGGCAAACAAGAUCCCUUGGGCCUGCCUUCUUGUGGCACUAAUCUUACUCAUGAGGCUUCUACCCUACGACCCCACCAAAUAUUCUGUUUCUCAACACCAAGUGGGAUUAGGGAUUCCAUCUCAACAUAGGAGUUCUGGGAGAACAAGAAUCCUUAUCCUACAGCAAUGAUGCCCCACACUCGCUCACUAAGAGCUAAGAAAGCCAUGCUACCAAACUCUGUGCCAUCUGGAUUAGAUAGCUUUCUUUCCAUUUCAUAACUGGAUGAUUUUUAGAUAGACAUGUGUGGCUGACAGAAAAUGCUCUGCUGGUCUCUGGUCCCCUAAUCAGGAUGAUUUGGAAAAGGAGAAAUAGCAUGCAACCAGGGUUGAGGCAGAAGAGCAAAGAAACUCAAACUGUAGCUCCCGAUCUUCCAAGUAUUAUUUUAGAACAAGGUACAUAAUUUCUCUUCAAAUUUAUGUAGGAUACAAGAUUUUUAAAGGUAAAUGGAAUAUAAUAAAAAUUAUUUUUAAAAUAAAGUAUACCUCUAUUUUAGUUUGUUGAUAUCUGUCUCCAACAAUUGACUCUGUAUGGACAUAUUAUCUCUCUCUUUCCCUCUCUUUUUGUCUCUCUGUCUCUCUGUCUCUGUCUCUGUGUGUGUCUCUCUUUCUCUCUGUCUCUGUCUUUCUCUCUCUCUCUCUCUCUCUCACACACACACACACACACACACACACACACACACACAAAAAUCUCUGCUAAUCUCUUAGUAUCUGCUAAAGAUAAUUUGAAGUGUAGAAAGGAUUAACCAAGGGAUUUUGAGGAAUUUACUUUGGUCUAUGUAAACCUGGGAUUAGCAUCAUCUAGUCUCAAGGAUCCAAACACGAAAUACAGCUAUGCUUCAUGUGGGAAGACAAUCUGAACCUUCAAAAUGGGCUCUGAAUGGUAUUUCAGAGAACUAUGCUUACUCUCACAAAUCCAUAAUAGUCAGGAACUUCCAAAUUAUAUACAAAAUAUGAAUGUGGUCAAGUACAUGUGACUAUUUUCUAGAGUGGCUAAUGCCCAACAUAUUCUCUGGUAGACGCAUCAAACAUAUAACCUGGAGUACACAGUGAGAUGAGUGUCAACACAAUCUACAUUCUGCCAUGUUUGAGUUUUUAACAAGAGGCUUACAAUGCAGGGGUGUGGAGAAUUGACAGAUUUUGCACAUUUUAGUGCCUUUUUACAAUGUUUGCUAUGUUCAGCAAAAUAUCAGCUUUCAGAUUUAAAAUAUGUUUUCUAGCUUAUCCCACUGUGCAAAUCAGUACAUUAAGCAAGCCUAGCAGAAAACCAUAAGCAGGCAAACAGAAAAGCUGUGAGAGGCUUUCUUAUUAAAUGUGAUUGGGAAUAAGAUUUAAAUAUUGGUUUGCCCACCAGUCUGUGAGCCAAAAGCAGCCCAGAUAUAGAAAGAGGAAAAAAAAAUCACAAAACAAGGUCAACAGAGAUACAUUGGUGGUUGUCAAGGGUAGAAGAGAUUGUUUUAAAGAAUCCAAAUUAAAAUCUACUGCAUUAAGCAUCUACAUGAAACAUGCUGUUCUAAAGCUCACUGUUAGUGUGAGAUGAACCACUAUAGCAAAUAAACCCAUGGAGAGGUCCCACCACUUGCACAAUAAUAGCCUACGCAGGUGUUCCUGGCUGGUAGGUAGCUCUUCUGGCCAGGGAACCUGAAAUCUAUGCUGCUUUCAUUGGAGUUACUGUGGUCCUGGGAAUUGUCUGUGUGUUUUGUUGCCAUUUGGAUAUGAAAUAGCCCCCAAAGGCCCUUAUUGUAAAGGAUUGGUCUUCAAUGCGUGUGUUUUAAAGGUGGUUGGAUCAUGAGAACUCUACCUUCAUCAGUGGAUUGAUGCGCUGACAGAUUCAUAGCUCAUCAGACUACUGGGAGGCUACAGAAACUGGUGGGAUCAAAGCUUGUUAGAGGAGGCAGGUCCUUGGAAGCAUGCUCCCGAGUCUCCCUUGCUAUCCUAUCUCAGCCUCUGCAUUUCUCUCGCCCUCUGUCUCUUCCCUCCCCUCUUAUUCUUCCUAUCCUUCACUCUGAUCCUGUCUUCCUCUCUCUACUUACUGGUUGUCAUAAGAUGACCCAUGUUCACUCAGCAUGUUUCCACUAUGAAUUUCCUGCCUCAGCUCAGGCCUUAGAACAACAGAGCAACAUUAUAUACUGUAACUGUGGACUGAAAGAUAUUCCCUCCUCUCAGAUGUUUUUCUCAGGUUUUCUGUCACAGCCCUGGACAGCUGUGACACAUCGUUAUCAUAGGAACUACUGUCCUGCCCAGGACCAAGUGGUACAAGGGAGAAGACAGAGGAAGCUAGUCCACUUAUGUAAGUGGUUGGCUUGGGUGCAGAGGUUUUCCAGUAAACUUGGUGGCAGCUAGCCUGCUCGCCUAGUUGGUUCAGGCGUGAUACCACCAGCUCAGUCACAGCAUCCCUGUGGAGGAAGGGGAUUUACUGAGUGCCAGAAAAAAAAAAAUAAGAAGAGAGUCGGCGGACACCAAAGAGUGGAAGGGACAGGGUGUGCGUAAUAGUCAUCGCAUGAACAAAAGCUCCACGUUUAAAUAGCCAUUCUAGCAAAUUGAAUGGUUAGGAAAGUAUCCAACCGCAUCAAAAGAAAGUUGGACUAAAUAUGAUACAAAGUAAUGGGUGUUUUGCUGUAAUUGCAAUUAAUCAUUUGGCUCUCCCAUCAGGGGGACAUUAGUUUGAGAAGACAAGCAGCAAUAAAUUUCAGGACACUAAUCUCAUGACCUCCAGACGCUGUCACCUAAAUAUGAGCAAAUGUGAUUUAAAGAGGAAAAGGAGGCAUAAGGCACUCAGAUCCUGAACGCGUGCGUCUCCUCGAUGAACUGUGGUAUUCAGUGGUAACUUCUGUCUCCUCGAUGAACUGUGGUAUUCAGUGGUAACUUCUGUCAAUUACAUUUUCUCCUCUUUAAAGAGAUACUGAGCAUCUUGUCUUCCAAAUUUCCAGGAUCUUUAUAACAGUCAGAAUUAAUAUUUAAUAAAAUAUGGAAACAAUUUGACUAGGGCUAACUCUACUUUUAUGCUGCAUUUCCAGAUUAAUGAAUAUUUAAUUGGGCUUGGUUUUUAAAGUCUAAACACAAAUAGAAGAGUCAAAAGAGAUAGUUCAAUGGGUAAUAUGUGUUAAAUUUUUAAAAAUGUUUAUAAAAUUACUAUAUGCAUCUUAAUAAUCAUAUUCUGUAACCAAAUAACUAACAAAACAACAUGAAAGAGGGUUUUUUACGCAUGGCAAUUUCAGGCGGUGUAGUUUAUCAGGUUUGGAGAAUGCAUGGCUUCAGGAGUUUGAGGCUGUUGGUCAUGUUGCAUUCCCAAGCUGAAAACAGGGACAAACCCAGGUUCCUUUCUUCUUUUUAGCCAGCCCAGGAAAUCUUACUGCCCACAUUUAGGAUGGACCUUCCUUCCUUAAUUAUCCUAAGCUAGAAAAUCUCUCAGAGACAUGCUGAAAGAUCUGCUUCCAUGGUAAUUCUAAAGCCCAUCAAAUCGACAAGGUUACGUACUGCAUGCCCCAUUUGCAAACCUUCACUUGGGAGAGGGUUUAUCCAUUGCCAGCGGUCAUAGGAGCACAGCCAUAUUUCAAUCGUGAUGAUUCCUAAGUUGUGCUGAGUCACUGUAUGGUCCACUUGAUGACUGCAUGAGUUUGAUUUUGUUUUAAGCACAGAGUGGAACACUGGGGACUUAGAAUGGGGACUCAACAGGGCUUCUGAAACUGGGAACAUUAUCAAAAAAACAAAAACAAAAACAAAAAGUCUGACUGCUGCCCAGGUUGGCCUCUCAAACUACUACCAGCAAUCCUCCAGCCUCAGCCUCAGCCUCAGCCUCUGCUAUAACUGGAUUAUUGGGACAGGAUGGGGUCAGGAAAGGCAGGAAGUCAAUUAACAUCUCUCAGCAUGUUGCUCAUUUUUAAAUUUGUAUUUUAGUGAGUUCCUCAUCUGGGAGAACCUUUGAUCAUCCAUUUGAAAAGGAUUCACUAGGGUAAGAGGAGAACUUUCUCUUGAAAGGUGCACGGAGAAAUUGUAUUUUCUUGCAAUGCACAUUAGUCACGCCAACAAGUGGAAGGAUCUCUGUGGUCCCUGCAGUCCCGGCUCCCACUCCUCACUACUCCUCACCUCCUCCACACCUCCCACCGCUCCCCCUUCCACCAAGAGUUCCUAGUUGUCACACCAUUCUCCGGGAUCUCUCACUUGUCCUAGCUACAUUCUAUCCGACCACAUGGGGGCGCCAAAGUAAGCCUAAGUUAUAAUUAUAAAUUCGAAUCCCUUCCCAUAUGCUUUAAAGAGAAAUGAGGAGCCCGGCAUGGUGGCACACGCCUUUAAUCCCAGCACUCAGGAGGCAGAGACAGGCGGAUUUCUGAGUUCGAGGCCAGCCUGGUCUACAGAGUGAGUUCCAGGACAGCCAGGGCUACACAGAGAAACCCUGUCUCGAAAAAAACAAAAAAGAGAGAAAAUUGAGGAAAGCUUAAAUUGUACCACAGGGACACAUCGAAUCUCUGUGGAUGUGUGCAUCCGUACAAGGCAUGAGGGUAAUGCAUUUAGUUUCUGGCUGAGGAAGUCCAGCAGUGAGCCUUAGACCAGGCUAGGUUCCAGGUGCCAUCCAUUCUGUUGUUUCGUGGCCUCACGACUCCUCCUGAUAGGAACUUAAAAUAGAAUCACCUUACCCAUUCAAUAUCAGGUGACAAAAUUCAUGUGCAGGUCUAUAGUGAAAAAAGCCAUAGCCUGAAAUCUGCCUCUAUAACCUGCAGGGGAAGGAAAUAUGAGAGAAGGAACACGGAAAAAAGAGGUUUACCCUAACCUAACCUUUCCCAGAUUCUAGCUCCACUCUUCACUCCAUUGGCCUUGGGACGUGUUUUACGAAAUGUUCCGGGGAGAAUCAAAGUCUCAUGGAUUCUCUAUAGUUUCUAAAGGUCCAGUUAAUAGCAGUAAUGAUUACACAGCCUUGGUGGAUAUUGGCUUUCUGGAUUUUAUCAAUGGGGUGAUAAGAGCCCUAAUCCAGACAUCGUGCUGCAGAGAUUUAAGCAGCGGUGUGAUCAGUGAUAACUAGUGUGACCCCUCCCUACUCAUCCAGGAAGAGGAGCUAAGAUCACAGAAGGUUAGUGCUCUUGUCUUUACCUCCUUUGAUGGUCAGCCAAGACGACUGUAACUUUGCCUCAGAAGGACUCUAGAAUAUUUUAGUAUAAAUUUGUAUGAAUUACAGUCAUCAGUAAUGUCUAAGUGUUGCAGUGAAUACUAAAGCAGGACUGAAAACAGUAUGUCCGCCUGUGGCACGAAGUUCAUGGCCACUUAGUCUGCAUUCACCAUCCUUGAAGAAAAUAUAAGCAGCUUUGCAAAAGAGCCGCAAAUGUUUAUGAAGAAUACUUUAAAAAGAAAACAUAAUCCCAACAACUAACGAGGCAGUUUUAUUGUGAAAGAUAGCAUCAGCCUAGGGGAGACGCAGACGAGGAAUAAAAAUGCAGUAUUUUAAAGAUUUCAAAAUACACAGAACACUUCAGAUCUUGCUUACCCCCCCCCCCCGAAAAUUAUAAUUUCAGGAUUACAUUAUACACAAACAGCUGAACUCUAAACAGACAAUCAACUCCCUGAGUAUUCUUAAAGAUCUGAGUCCAAAUUUCUUAAGAACAAAAGCUUUUCAUAUGAUGUUUUUAAUAAAACUUCAAACAGACCGUUUAUCACUUAUCAUGGGGAAAAUGCUAAAGUAGGUAAGACAAUAAGGAAAGAAAAGAUAGGGGAUGUCGUGAGGCAGAGAAACCUUAAACAAAUAUGUAUUCUUUCACAUGGACAAGGCCAUGUUCAGGACCCCAAUAACUCACCCAUGGGAACAGCAAAGCCUUCCCCCAGUGAGGCUCAAGGGAUGGCUUUUCAAUGGCCUGACUAUAGAUGUUGAUAGUAGAUGCAAAAAAAAUGACCACCAUGGCUUUCUCCCCUGCCCAGGACACUCACAGCCAGAAGACUGAUUCCAUAAGGAGACUGCUCCUACAGAGGUUAACUAAACCUGCUUCCUUGAUUCAGCUCUGUGUACCAACCCCACCUCCCUGUUCAAUUUUCUAUAAUAAACAUGUUGAGCUUCAAGUGUGCUCUGGCUUCUUUAUCUCAGAGCCCAGACCACUGUACCGCAGGGUUUCUGUGUGUCCCUGUCAGGUUAAGUUCCUGGAUCCAUGAAAGAAUACAACAGAAAAAAAAAAAAAAAAAAAAAAAAAAAGAGGGAGGGAGGAAGGGAGGGAGAGAGAAAAGAAGGGAACUAGUUGUUUUUGUUUCAUUUUGUUUUCUGAGAUAAUUAAAUAUCUGUUCUGUUUCCAAAGGAACUUAAAAAAAAAAAAACACCCAUCUCUGAGAUCUCUGUAAACAAUCCGGUACAAAUAAACACACACUCACAAACAUGCAUGGCUUUUCAUCCUGCAAAAAGUUACACAUUUUAAGAAGGAAGAUUACCUCCCAAAUCUUUCCUUUUUAAAAUGUUACCAGAAAAAUAAUUAACAGCACUCAAUAAAAAGUGUCUGUGUAUCUUUAGAUACACAACUAUAAAAAAAUUAUAAUGAGGAAUGCUAUAAAAAAAAUUCUUGCUGAGAUAAAUGGUGCUGAUCUUCAUGAUCGCGUGAUCUUCCUGUGAGUGAACAGGACAGGAUUAGCACCAAGCCUCCCUCUGCUACAAUGCUAAGAUGAUGCUGGUGUUUCCUUUGUCGGGUUCUCAGACAGGUCAGAGUAAUCCCUUACCGGAUUGUGGUGCAUCAUCACAGCAUGAAAAGGGACAUGUGCCUAGCAUUAAAUGUGUACUGGACACUGCAAUUUUCUCAGGGCUCUCACUUACCAUCUUCAAAUAAUGACUGUAGAACCGUGUCCACUCUGUGCAGAAGAGAUUCAUAAGGAUGAAAUCAUCCUGUCAGGGCAAGCAACUGCAAGGAUGAACAAGCAUCACUGAGACCAUAUGUACCUGACCCAUGUGCAGAAUGUAUCCAGUCAUCCCAUGUGCCAAUUCCACCACUGCCAUUGUGUGCAGAAGUAUGGGUGUACAGACAGACCACACAUCCCCAUACCUGCUCGCCACCACAAAGCUAAAGCCAUCCAGUGUUGGAAAGAAUGAGAAUAGCAUCCACUUCUGUAUUUGCCAGGCACUGGCAUAGCAUCUCAAGAGAUAGCUAUAUCAGGGUCCUGUCAGCUGGAUUGUAGUAGUAUAAAAUGUAAUGAAACUACUUACUGGUGUUAUAAAAUGGAGGUCACACCUGAAUUGGUGAAAUUACAUACAAACGUUAAACUUUCCUCAUAAACCACAAUAACGUGUGAAUAUGACCUAUGACUUCACUUUAAAUGUGGCCUCUCUAUUCAGUGUGUCAACGUAAGAUAGAUAGGGAACACGAGACUCCAGAGGGGGGAGGAGCUCUGUGUUCCCAACACAGUGCCGAGAAACAAACCUAGAAUUAACUAAAUGUCACCAAUGAACAAAACAAUGCAAAAGAAAAUUAAUUUAACGUUGUUUUCUGAAAAUGUUAAUAUGUCUAAUCCACAGAAAAUCUUGUUUGAUUCAUAUGUUUAUCUUGUCCAAG